UACAGAGGGGGCGAGCGUUGUUCGGAAUUACUGGGCGUAAAGGGCGCGUAGGCGGCCAACUAAGUCAGACGUGAAAUCCCUCGGCUCAACCGGGGAACUGCGUCUGAUACUGGAUGGCUUGAAUUCGGGAGAGGGAUGCGGAAUUCCAGGUGUAGCGGUGAAAUGCGUAGAUAUCUGGAGGAACACCGGUGGCGAAGGCGACAUCCUGGACCGGUAUUGACGCUGAGGCGCGAAAGCCAGGGGAGCAAACGGG
rnacentral:rRNA from 1 species